ensembl:lincRNA
CCUGGGCACUCACGUCGCUGGGCUGCCGCAGUGACUAGCCACGCGGCUGGACCCCUCUAUCUGGUUCACGCCAGGAAGGACUCCUGGGCGGAAGAGGAGAGGAAGGCAACUCAGCCUGCCCCACUGCGGCUGCUGGAGUGGCAGGCCAAGUGCCCGCCCCAUCUCGUAAUUUUGUUUACAGCAAAGCAGUUAGCCCUGCCCCUCUCCCCGCCUCAGAAAGGCUGCAGGAAGCUCCGGACAAAAGGAGCUCAUGGGAAAUGACAAAGACAGUUUUGGAGCGAUAACGUCAUCCAUCCUGCCCCAGGAAGGCCUGGCCUGGGCUCUAGCCAAGUGGCGGGACCAGGAUGACCAUCCCUUAAACGAUGCUGUGCCUCGGGAGGCUGAGCUGGCUUUCAUGUUCAAAGGAUUCAUUGAAGACUUAGGACGUGGGCCUGCUCCGAUCGGCUCUGUCUUCAGUUCUCACGGCCAAGGCACGGCUGGCUCAAAAAAGGGGAUAGGGCGCGGCCCACGAGGCGGUGCUGAGCAAACGUUCAUCCAUCACUAUGGUCGAUGGUCUGACUGGUCCAUGAUUCCUCCGUUCUCCCGGUGGUUCUCUGGGCAUGCCCGCUCGAUCCUGGGCAUGGCCAUGAGACUUUCCUUGUCCAGGGGAGUGUGAGCAGAGGGGAGAGGGCACCCCUGGAGCCGAGGUCUUAAGAGGCAUCACAUACUGCCACGUCUUCUUGGACUCUCCCCGUCACCAUGAGAAGCGCUUUCUCUGGGCAGGCAUUGUACCUUCAGCUGGGUCCCAAGAUCGCCCAAAGGGCAACUCGAAGCAUGGCGCCUGGAGCUGAGCUCAGUCGAGUUGCAGCUGACCCACAGACUUGUGAGAAACUAUUGCUAAAAGCCACCAAGAUUCUGGGGUUGUUAGUUAUGCAACACUGCAAAAUAACCUCAGUGUCCAGGCUGCUGUAGAACCUCUCCAAGCUUUAGUUACUUUUCUUCUGCAAACUGGAAGCAACAGAACCUCCUUCUUGCAGGUCCUGGCUCCUUGGAACUCCUGUCCAUAGGUUUCGAAGGAAAUAAAAUAUGAAAGACGCUAAGAACAGAGCCUCGCGCAUAGCAAGUACCUUCUAGACGGUUCUGGCAUCAUCGUCAGUAGUGACACUGCUGCAAGACUCGCCGAUUGGCCCUCUGGAGUGACGAUGAAAUACACUCUCUGGACUCAUCUGUGGCCGUGGUUGUGUAAAGCCAGAGCUCCCUCGACAUCUCUGUCAGCUGGGCUCAGGUCGUAAAUGCUGUCCGAGCUGAAAACAUUCUAACUUGCGUUUCCCACAACAUGUCAAAUGGCACUGUGAUUGCAGGUGCCAAAACCCAUCAGCAGUCCCUCUGUGGGCCGGGGGAACCCAACGCCACAAUCCCGCCGCAGCAUUAAAGAGCAGGUUUCCUCAAGAACAUCAGGUGAGAAGGCUAGUUUAAUGCGAGAAAUAAUAGGCUCCCAAAUGAAAAUUCCAGUUCUGAGAAUUAGGUCAUCCUAAAUGGAGCUCAGAGACCUGGGCCUAAAAAUAGACUAAUCCAUGCAGGGCGGGAGAUUGUGAGGCAGAAGGUCAGAACAGAGAGCCUGCCCAGAGCCGCCCCUCAAGGCCCCCCACUCACGGAGCGGGGUCUAGAGAGUCUACCCACCAUCGGAGGAAGAGUGCCUGGGGAGCCUGCCUCCCAGGGUUGUCUCACGUGGGUUUCCACUUCAAAUUUAUCCCAGGAGACCCCAAGCCGAGAAAUUAAUAAGAAGUGGUUUUGAGUAGGUGGUCUCUCCAGGGCCUCUGGAGGGAUGUCCCACACCCGACUCAAGCCCCAGGCAGGACCCAGGACCCAGGGCACAGCCCAUGCAACAGGGGUUCCCAAUUCCAAGUCGUAAAACAGAAUACCAACACAAAACUCCAUGAGCCAGAGCCAGGCAAGUCGACAAACGCAGAACGAGGUUCUUAGAACAGAUCAUAGAAGUAUUAAAUGCAGAAUAUAAAAUCAAUAUGCUUAAAAUAAAGAGGUAGUGUAAUAUAAUAAUAUAGAGGCUAACUCUGCAGGAUUAUUCUGGUCAAGGUACUUAAUCUCUGUGCCUCAGUUUCCUUAUCUGUCAGUGGAUCCCUGAGGUCUGCAUUUUCAAAGUACUGAGGGAUUCUGAGUCUCACUCACUCCUGAGAGCCACUGCCCGGCACCCGGUCAGGAGUGUCCCUGGACAUUGGUGUGCUCCUGCCUGCAGCAGAGUCGUCCUUUCCCUCACCUGUCCCCUCCUCUCACCGUCCAAGGAACACAGGGCAAGGGGCAGGGGUGACCUUGUGUGGGUCACUCCCAGGCUGAGGCCACCAGGAACCUUGUGCUCAGGGCGAGAGGAGGAGGUGAGCUACUGGGUCAGAGGGCACGGGUGGCCGCAGCCGGCACCGCGGCCCGAGAUGACCACGUGCCCACGGUGAGCAUCCAGGAGCUGCACGAAAGGGGCCGGCUGAGGUGCAAGACCGAGGACGGCCUGGUGGGCUUGGCCACUGCUGACAGCCCCCGUCACCAAAGCAAGGGAGGAGGGCAGGAGGGCACACGAGGCGGCUGAGGUUAGCAAGACGCUGGCACCCUCGGGGUGAUGGGAAACUGCCCCGGCACCUGCAGACCUCAGUGCCGCUGGCGCACCCGGCAGGGC